rnacentral:rRNA from 1 species
UACGAAGGGGGCUAGCGUUGCUCGGAAUCACUGGGCGUAAAGGGUGCGUAGGCGGGUCUUUAAGUCAGAGGUGAAAUCCUGGAGCUCAACUCCAGAACUGCCUUUGAUACUGAGGGUCUUGAGUAUGACAGAGGUGAGUGGAACUGCGAGUGUAGAGGUGAAAUUCGUAGAUAUUCGGAAGAACACCAGUGGCGAAGGCGGCUCACUGGCCCGUUACCGACGCUCAGGCGCGACAGCGUGGGGAGCAAACAGG